rnacentral:rRNA from 1 species
GACGAACGCUGGCGGCGUGCCUAAUACAUGCAAGUCGAGCGGACUUACAAAGCUUGCUUUUUAAGUUAGCGGCGGACGGGUGAGUAACACGUGGGCAACCUGCCUGUAAGACUGGGAUAACUUCGGGAAACCUGAGCUAAUACCGGAUAAUCCUUUUCUACUCAUGUAGAAAAGCUGAAAGACGGUUUACGCUGUCACUUACAGAUGGGCCCGCGGCGCAUUAGCUAGUUGGUGAGGUAACGGCUCACCAAGGCGACGAUGCGUAGCCGACCUGAGAGGGUGAUCGGCCACACUGGGACUGAGACACGGCCCAGACUCCUACGGGAGGCAGCAGUAGGGAAUCUUCCGCAAUGGACGAAAGUCUGACGGAGCAACGCCGCGUGAGUGAUGAAGGUUUUCGGAUCGUAAAACUCUGUUGUUAGGGAAGAACAAGUACGAGAGUAACUGCUCGUACCUUGACGGUACCUAACCAGAAAGCCACGGCUAACUACGUG